GCAUCCGUAGACUCAGCUGGAUAGAGUACUCGGCUACGACCGAGCGGUCGGAGGUCGAAUCUACCCGGAUGCACCA
rnacentral:tRNA from 1 species